CCUCGCGCCUUCCCCUCCGGAACGAGGGCUCCGGCAUUUCCGGAUUGAAAGGGUGCCGAGCCUAAGUCGCGUUGUCCCCCCUCGUUGGCCGCUGGAGCGCUGGAAUUUCCAAACUGAAGCAACGAGGGGCUCGGCGGCCGGGCGAGCUCGGGGGGGGGGGGGGGCCGCUCCCGGCGCGACAGGUUCGGUCCCGGGGCCGGGCUCACCGCGGUGCUGCGGUGCCGCUGCUCUAAGCGCUCUACGGAAUACCGCCAACUACCCUGGACGGCCCUGUGGUGUUCAGUGGGUGCCUGCUGUGAUAGGAAUCCUUCCAAGAGCUGGCGACAGGGCAGUGAUGAGGAAAGACAAACAUUUCGUCAUUGUGCAGAGAUGGUUUCAACGGCGGGGGGCCGAUAAGAAACAAAAAUAAAAUAUAUGGGUGAGGUGGGAGCCAUUGAGGAGGGACAGCCCCAGCUCCAGUGUUUACAGGCACCCUCCUGAGACAGCAGGAGCUAUGUCCCAGGGCCAGGGAGGACAGGAGGCCAGAGAGGAGGUGACUACUCUAGUCGAGGAAAAGGAAAGCGGAGGCUCCCCAGCCCUUCGCUGAAGUUGCCAGGAAGGGCAAGCCUUCCUCCCGGGUGCCAGGCAGUCUUGGGCAGUCCAGUGAGUGGACCCACUACAGACUAGAGGCCGCGGACUCAUAUCCCGCUUUGUGGCCUGGCCCCUGCUGUCCCUUCACUCGGAGCUGUGGCGUGGCCACCCCGCCCUUCCUGGCAGCUUCAGUGAAUUUCUUUUGUCCCCGAGCAUUCUGAACAUGCCGUUCCUCUGGCCCAGAAUUUCCUUCCCACAGCUUUUACAGGAGGUUCUCAGAGCAUUUCAUCCACAAGGUUGUGACAGAAGGAGGAGCAGAUUGGGGUUUGGAUCCAGGCUCUGACAACUUAGCGGCUGUUUUAGUGGACGUUCUCCCCAAAAGCAGCCCCUGGAACCAAACCUGGUGUUCUAGCAGUUUAUACCUGGGAUGGGGGUUUGGGGGGAGUCGGGGAAGGCAACCAGGAAAGCUGUGGGUUAGUAUGGAGACCUCCUUUGGGGCCACUGUGGUUCAGUCUCACUGAGGAACCCCUUGGAGAUGGGCGGACUUUUUACGCCAAUCCUGUGCCUCGCUGGGUCGAAGCUCCUCCAGGAAUGUCAACUGCCUAAUACUUCGUUAUUCCAUAUGUACAUUUCUAUUCAUUUAUUUAAACAGUUUUGGGUCACCAGCUGUCCAUCGCAUCCCAGGACCCAUUUACCUUGUAACUGGAAGUUUGUACCCUUUGACCCGCUUCACCCAUUUCCCCCACCCCCUGCCUCUGGCAACCACCAAUCUGUUCUGUAUGU